rnacentral:misc_RNA from 1 species
GUGAAUCAUCGAAUUUUUGAACGCAAAUUGCACUUCUUGGUAUUCCGAGAAGUACACAUGCUUGAGGGUCAGUUAAAAAAAAUCGGGCGUCGUUGAUGCUGCUAGUCUGGUGAGUCCGAUUGGAUAAGUGUGGUAUCUAACAUUAGUAUUAAGAUGUAUUGAAAUACGUACGAAUUAUAUAGUCACUAAUCAU